GCUCGGUAUGGUGGCACAUGCCUGUAGUCCCAGCUACUUGAGAGGCUGAGGCAGCAGGAUCUCUUGAGCCCAGGAGCUCUGGGCUGUAGUACACUCUGCUGGUCAGGUGUCCACACUAAGUUUGGCAUGAAUAUGGUGACCUCCCAGGAGAGGGAAGUCACAAGUGGAACAGCUCAAAGCUCCGGGGUUGGUCAGAAGUGGGAUUGCACCCAUGAUUAGCCACUGCAUUCCAGCCUGGGCAACAGUGAGACCCUCUU
ensembl:misc_RNA Metazoa_SRP Metazoan signal recognition particle RNA